rnacentral:lncRNA from 1 species
CUUGACCUUCCAACUUUCUCGAGUUAGGUAAAUGGUGUCACUUCAUGGCACACGAGCUGUCAACCGAAAGCUUGAGCAUGGCAUAGCCUUUACUCCUAGCCAUCUACUUAUACCAACAGGAUGAUGUGAUGGGGCUAUAAAGGGCCUCUUUUGGGAUCAUCAUGGCAAGCUAUUGGGGGCAUUAAUUGAUCCAAGAAGUAACGUGCUUCGACGGCUGGUC